rnacentral:tRNA from 1 species
GGCGGCAUAGCCAAGUGGUAAGGCAGCGGUCUGCAAAACCGCGUAUCACCAGUUCGACUCUGGUUGCCGCCUCCA